rnacentral:rRNA from 1 species
AUUGAACGCUGGCGGCAUGCUUUACACAUGCAAGUCGAACGGUAACAGGUCUUCGGCUGCUGACGAGUGGCGAACGGGUGAGUAAUACAUCGGAACGUGCCUAGUAGUGGGGGAUAACUACUCGAAAGAGUGGCUAAUACCGCAUGAGAUCUACGGAUGAAAGCAGGGGAUCGAAAUACCUCGUGCUACUAGAGCGGCCGAUGGCAGAUUAGGUAGUGGGUGGGAUAAAGGCUUACCAAGCCGACGAUCUGUAGAUGGUCUGAGAGGACGAUCAGACACACUGGGACACGGAAAAGGCCAAGACCCCUACGGGAGGCAGCAGUGGGGAAUUUUGGACAAUGGGCGAAAGCCGGAUCCAGCAAUGACGCGGGCAGGAUGAAGGCAUUCGGGUUGUAAACUGCUUUUGUACGGAACGAAAAGCCCUGGGUUAAUACCCUGGGGUCAUGACGGUACCGUAAGAAUAAGCACCGGCUAACUACGUGCCAGCCGCCGCGGUAAGAC